AUUUACUUUAUUUUAUAUGCCUAAAAGCUGUUGUGAAUGCAGAAAAAUUUAUAUUUUUAAAUUUUUUCUAGCUUUGUGUUGGAUUUAUUAAAAAAAAAAAUAUUUGUACGCUAAUUUCAAAUUUAAUAAAGUUAAUAAUUUUAUUUAAAUAUUUUUAUAUAUUUCUUAAUAUAUUGAAACAUUGUUCGAUGAUAGAAGAAUAUAUAAUACGGCAUACUAUAAUGGAUUAAAAUUAAAAUAAAACUUAUAAAAAUAUUCGCUCAUGCUGGAAGAGAAUAUAAAUAAAUAUUAGUAACCACAAAUGCAUUAAAAUAUUUUCCACACAACAUAUUUCCCCAGAAGCAGAAAAAUAGCAAAUAUUUGGCCAACAGCACGCACAC